rnacentral:rRNA from 1 species
UUAGAUACCCUAUUAUUAGGAAAGUAAAUUAAUGCUAAAUAAUUAUAAGUUAUGAUCUUUAAAAUUAAAUAUUUUGGCGGUAUUUUAGUCUUUUCAGAGGAACCUGUUCUGUAAUUGAUACUCCACAUUAAAAUAUACUUUUAUUAGAAAUUUAUAUAUCGUUGUUAAAAUUAUUUUUAUAAAAAUUAAUAAUUAAUUUAUUUUUAAAAUUAAAAUUCAGAUCAAGGUGUAGUUUAUAUAAAAGUAGAAAUGGGUUACUAUUUAAAUAUACGGAUUUAAAAAUUUAAAAUUUUAAUUAAGUUGGAUUUGUUAGUAAUAUUUUUUAU